rnacentral:rRNA from 1 species
UACGUAGGUGGCGAGCGUUGUCCGGAUUUACUGGGCGUAAAGAGCUCGUAGGCGGUCUGUCGCGUCGAUCGUGAAAAACUUGGGGCUUAACCCUGAGCUUGCGGUCGAUACGGGCAUGAUUGGAGUUCGGCAGGGGAGACUGGAAUUCCUGGUGUAGCGGUGAAAUGCGCAGAUAUCAGGAGGAACACCGGUGGCGAAGGCGGGUCUCUGGGCCGAUACUGACGCUGAGGAGCGAAAGCGUGGGGAGCGAACAGG